GCCGGGCUAGCUCAAUCGGUAGAGCGUGCGGCUCUUAGAUCACCAUCGUGUGACCGCAAGGCUGCGGGUUCGACCCCCGCGUUCGGCU
rfam:Emmonsia pasteuriana TAMH 9510 supercont1.242, whole genome shotgun sequence.